rnacentral:lncRNA from 1 species
AUCCUUUUGAUGCCUGAGAUACACUACGCACCUUAUGCCUUCUUCCAUUAAUUAAAGCAACUGAAUUAAAGUAUUUCUGGGCUCGGUCCACAUCUUGUGGCGGCGAAAUCGAGGGAAUGGGUGCCUGCCAUUCUCUUCGUUCCCGGGAAGCCAAGCCAAUGCUUCAAGUCCCGAAUCCACCACUUUAACGUAUUUGUUCUUUUCGACUCAUCAUGGCCA